UACGGGGGGAGCAAGGCGUUGUUCGGAUUUACUGGGCGUAAAGGGCGCGUAGGCGGCCAGCGACAAGUCAGUUGUGAAAUCUCCGGGCUUAACUCGGAAAGGUCAACUGAUACUGUGCGGCUAGAGUGCAGAAGGGGCAAUCGGAAUUCUCGGUGUAGCGGUGAAAUGCGUAGAUAUCGAGAGGAACGCCUGAGGUGAAGACGGGUUGCUGGGCCGAACACGUGACGCUGGAGUGCGCGAAAGCCAGGGGAGCAAACGGG
rnacentral:rRNA from 1 species